GGGAAGUUUAUUGGGAACCGCUGACAGGGAGCGGGGACGCAGGCGGGCGCCGCGGGAGGCUGCUGGCGGAGCGCGGGGAUUAAUGUGUCUGGGCUGGUGAAGCGGCGGCACGAAACUUCGUGCCUGUGGGCUGCGCCGCCGGGGCGGCUCUGCCCGCCCGCCGCUGGUGUCACCUCAGGACAGGCUGCCGGGCGGCUCCGUGCGGGGCGCCUCGGGGGUGCCCUGAGGUGACGCCUCAGCCGUCGCGCUGGGCCCCGGGCGGUGGCGGCGGAGGGGCCGGCGGGCCGCGGGUAACCUUGCGGAUAACACGUCCACACCGGAUGUGUGCUUUUAAAUCCCCGGCGUCAAAAACCUGGUGUCAAUGCAAAACGCCGAAGUUCCAAUACUCGAUUUAUUUAUCUUACACACACACCCCCCACACACACACCCGGAAAAAAAAAAAAAAAGAGCCGGAAACCGGGUGCGAGGCGGAAGGCGCGUGUAUCUUCAGAGAAAACACAGCAGUUCUUUAACGGUGGGUUACAUGUCUUCCAGGGGCAGGGAGGAAGGAGAGCAGUCGGUGAUCUCCCUGGUGAGGCAUCGCUGUACUCAGUCGGCCGUUUGUGCUUUUCUCUACAACUCACCGCAAACUUUGAGCCUUAUGAAGAGUAUAAAGCUGACUUUGAGCCAUGGGGAAGAUCAGGCUCGUGGCACCAGUGCAGUCAAGGUUGUGAUCAGAGGACGACGCUGGCUAGAUGAGCAAGGGGAGGAUCUCCUCAUGGCCACCUCUGCUCUUCCCUUUAUGCAAAGGAUCAGAACUACACACGCCGCUCUGCAGGCCCCGUGGGCAGUGUCACAGCAUCUCCUCUCCUCCCUCUUCCAGUUGAGUUCUGCUGGAUUUGCUGUAGUGAAGGCUCCCUGCAUCUACAAGCAGGACGGUGAGGGUUGGAAGAUUGAGGUUGGUCUAAACUACCUGUUCAAGUAGGGUCACCUAGAGCAGGUUGCCCAGGUCUAUGGCCAGAUGGCUUUUAAUCUUCUUUACCCUGGAGAUCAUCAGAGGAAUGAAUGAGACCUCUUAACGCAGCCUCGCUCUUUUGUGUAGAUAUGCAGAGAGUCAUUGCACUGCCUGCCUCAUCUGGAUUACCGGCAGACUCCUCAUAGGAGAUAUUAAUUAUAGGCGAAGCCGUGAAUGCCACCUAUAGUUAAGUUUGCUUGACACUUUUCAUCACAAGAUCCUGUUUUCAGUUGCUUAUAAAUUUGUCAAAUGUAUAUUAUUUGGAUUGAAAAUGUACAGAUUGGGAGACCGCAUCUGGCUGAAUAUCUAAAGCUUCAGAAAAAAAUGGGUGUUUGGUUGUUUUUUUCCCUGAUAACAAGUUUAAGAGGAAUGUGUUGCUUUUUCACUUGUCUUAAAAAUAAAUGUGUCUAUCCAUUUUGUUGAGAAGCUCCAACGAUUUAGAAAAAUAAUUCAAUAAUUGGGAGGCAGAAGUGAUGUGUCCCAAUGUUACCAGAAUCCAGGCUUUACAAAUGUCCUGGCACACGUGCAAGAAGAACUCAAUAACUGUUAAAACAUAGGAGAGACGUGGUGGAAAGUAAAUUAAUUGUGGAGAUUUAAGUGAAGGUUCUUAAUAACUACUGUUUUCCAGGUUUUCAUUAUAUGAUCUUUUCACCUGCGGAAAUGAGGGGAAGCUCAUCCCAUUCACAAAAUCACACGGGUGAUUUCUUACUUGCAAAGCACUUGAGUAGUACAAGGAUGGCAUGACAGAAAAGUCAACAGACAUUCAUAAUCCUGUCUUUGUAGCAAGUCUUGAGUACAGAGUUUUUCUAGCCGUAUUCAUCUCUGUGAAACUACAGCACCUGCCAAAGGAGGAUAAGGUCAAGUUGAAUGUUGAUUCCUGCACUUACUUCUGGGCAUUCCGUGGUUAAAUCAUGCAUUUGUCAGCCAUAGAAUAAGCCAGCGCUGAACAAUCCUUGAAAUAGCCCAAACCUUGAGGAAGAGCAUUUUGUUAUAGAAAAGGAGACAGGCAGAAGAGCCCUUGUAAAUGUAUCAUCUACCGCCAGAACACAAAUAUGUAAUUUGACAGUAUCUUUUUGUGGACAAGAGGAACGAAAGUUAUUUUAAAUUUCUCUCUCUUUUCCUCCUGCUGUUGAGGUUACAGCUGUAAUGAAAUACCCCAAAUGUCAUUUAUUCCUCUCUGCGCUUCUUUCAAUAUGAGUCUGCAAAGCAACAAGCAACAUCUCUUGUGGAAAAAAGGGUAUCUGAAAACUGUUCUGAGUACUGCAGAUGAUGAAAUAAGAAUGAAAGUCAAAGAAAUACGAUAAACGGUGUCUACCGAGAAAGCUCCCGUGGAACUGCUGAGUGAGGAUCGCUGACGCUUGGAGUCACAUAAUUAUGAAACUUAGUGAAGAUGAGCUGUCAGGAGAUCUCUAAUUAGAUAGUGCAGCCAACCCUGAUAGAUAAUGUUUCCUACGGGGUGUUACGUCAGAGAAGCUGGUGUGUUGUGCUCCCAGGGAAGUGGCCAAGAAAAGAUAUGGACUGGUAAAAAUACACGGGAAGGUUUUUUUGGUGUGGGUCUUUUUGUGUGUAAUCUACUGAAUUCUCGGUUAUUCAGCCCGGUCGUGAAGGAAAAUAAAGGUUUUGUAUUAUCUGGAAAGCAGAGAGGUGGCUAGAUACCCAGUAGGCAGGGGUUUCAUUGCAGUUUACAUUUGCCUUCAUUCUGCCAUUUGGAAGAUGAUAAAAUUAACACCUCAUCCUAACUGCUCUGCUUUGCAGGUGUUAUAGAAAUGAGAGUGAAAAAAUACCAUUAUUUGUAAGAAACCUUUUUUUAAAAUCUCCUUUUGCACUUGAGGCAGCAAGUUGUGUUGUUUUAUAGAAGAAUUCUCUAUUUACUUUGCAUGUAGCUGUUCUUUUAGAAGUAUAUUUUUUAUACAGGAAGGUGUUAGUGGCUGCCAUCAGAUGGUUCUUACAUCUGUAGAAAGUCUCAGAUCUGGGUAAAGAUGUUAAAUGUGCUAAACAGCUUUCCUUCAGGCUAAACGAUAGGAAUAUUUAAACAUGUUUUUAGUUGUUUGUAGGAAGGCAGUAAUCAAGCAAAGCAAAAGCUGAGCAGAAUUAGGCCACGCAGUCUGAGAGACCAUUUUCAAGUGCAGCGGAAGAAAUAAGUCAGAGCGUGAAUGGGUUACACAGGAUUCAGGAUGGAUGGACGGAUGGAUGGUGGCAGAGCUGUUGCACCCUACUCCACUACUCUUAAUGACUGGCUUACCAAUUCUUCUGUCCAGGUCGCCCAUAUUCUGUAGGAAAGGUUAGAAAGCACCAAUGCUCUAACACCGUUCUUUGCCAAGAAAUGGUCCCCUGAUGCAACUGAAGCUGCUGUGGCUGCAGGCAGGGGAAGAGGAUGCUGGCCUGGAAGAAAUGACUGUAGGGAUGGGAGAAUGCCCACAUUUCAUUCCAGGUCCUGGAGAUGCCGAGACUGCAUUGCCCUGACUUUGUCACAUUCCUUUAUCUUUAUGGGGACCUGCAAAUCCAAUUUAUCACUCAUAAUGCAGUAUACCUACAGCUUUUUUUGUAUUUAACCAGUAAGAAUUAUUUUACAGAUAUGUCUCCUUUGUCUGCAUAUCAUCUGGAGAAGUACUUGGUGCAUAUAUACAUGUUGACCAGACUUCUUUAUUUAUAUUGCCAUACCAGUUGUGUUGCUCGUUGAUCCACAGGAUUACAUUAGGCUCUAUAGAAGUACAAAAUCAUAACAGUUCAAGAUGCACAUUCAAAUAUAUAAUUUUUUUCUUAGAGAGGGAAGGAAGUUAUUUUGUUCCAUGUUUUCAGUAAUGUGUAUUAUUUUUGGUGGCUGAAAACCAUGCAAAAUGACAAUACAGAAAUGAAAAGACAGAAAGACUUUUGUCCAAGAAGCUCACAAACUAAACUUUGAGGUGAUGAGUUUGGCUAACAAACAGAAGUGGGGCAGUGGGUUAAGGAAGGACAAGGGUUAUAGAAAUAAGAUUAAGUGCAGUCCAUGCAGCACACCCUAAUAGACUUCUUUAUGCCCUGCUCUAGCCAGAUGCUGCAGAGAAAUGGCCAAAGAUUAGCUCUCAGGGGCAGGGAACUGUCUGUCUGUGUUUGUUUUUAUAGCGCCUAGUUCAAUGGAACACUAAUCCCUGUUUGAGGUCCCCGAGUGCUAUAGCAAUACAAAUAUUAUAUGCAAAAUAGUAGCAAUAACAUCCAUUGGUCCAGCUCCUUGCUGCGUGCUGUGCCCCCUUUUUGGCCUUAGCCUAACCUAAGAAAAAGGAGGGACCGUGCGGCUCAGAGGAUGCAGCCUUAUUUUGGGUGUUUGUUCUUACCUUUUGAACUUUGCUUAUCCCUUUCAGAAAGGAUGCUUCAACCUGUGACUAAAUUUGAUAUUAACCCUGCCCUUCCUCCUGUUCGAUACUUAGUGAUAUCUGAAAUGUUUGGAUCUGACUAUGUAGGGGCAGGAACGCCAGAAAAGAGGACUGUAUGAGAUCGGGGCAUGGUUUGGAGCCCAACUUCUGAUAAGGAAGCGGGAACAGGACACAUUAUUUUUUUAUAAGAAGACAGUAGUUCUCAAAAGUGAUUUCCCAGAAACUCAGGUGCUUGUAAAAGAGGCAUCAGGAAACACUCAUGCCUGACCGAAGGCUUUUGCUUCUGAUGGCUGAAGUGGAGCCCAGAUUUGAAACCGUUGUUCCCUGGCCUGCUGAGACCCGGUAGGUCCAGGUCUAUCGUCAUCCAGCAAAGCUUGCCAGAGUCAGGAAGGUCAGUAGCUUUGUGGGCUGUGAAAUGUCUGGUCUGCUCCAUCCCAUCAGGAUUAGCAUGUGCAGUUGGCUCCAAUGUGCUGGUCUUUGGAAGUGAAGAAUAAGCUGGAAAAGUCAAACUGUGUUUAGAGCUUAGUUUUACAUGGGGUCUGAGCCCAGCGUUCAUGCCUCAGACAUGCUUCUAACAUAUUUUGGCCACAGUGUGCGGUGUCAAAGUUUAGCUGGAAAAGAGUUUAAACACUGGUUUACUGGUUUGGGCCCCACGGUGGCCAUCCUUCUCUGCUCCUUUACCUUUAUUUCAUCCUUUAAGUACAACUCCCGGCAGAAGCAUGAGCUCUCACGCAUCUGGUCAUUCUUAUGUAUCUAAGUAAUGUGGAUUUGGGUCCAGAAGACAUGGUCAAAGUUUGUCUAAUUAGCUUCCUAUCACUAUAGCCAAGGCAGAAAUUUAAGGUGCAGUAACUCAUUUUAUAGUCAGUCUAUCUGGCACUGGAUAUAGAUUGGAAAAAGUCUUUGCUUGAGCAAGAGGUGUGGUAAUACUGUUAUGCUAUAUUAAAGUGCUCUUUAAAAAUAAAUCAGAUUCUCGUGAGUGCGAGAGACUAGUAUCCUCUACCACAGCCAGACCCAAUGCAGGCAGGUCUCCUCCUCACCCAGGAUUGCUAAAUCCUUCCGUGAGGACAAAAGCCAGCCAGAAAGUUGUACCCUUUUGGGUUUUUUUUUGUGACCCCUGAAGGAUUUGCUGUUAGGUCUUCAGAAAGGCUAGAUAAAGCAUUAGCUAUGAGCAGAAGAGUGCAUUAGGAACCACACCUGUUCAUCAGGGCUGUGCACGCACAUCUCCCCUUGCCAAACCGGGCUGCUGUAUCCAAAAAGGGUCCCAAAUGUUUAGGGCAGAAAUACUUGCGCCACUUGUGCUGUUUUUCUUCUGGUCUUCCUCUCAGCUUCCAAAAGCUGCCCCUUAAACACCACUUGUGAAUAGAAAAAAUGACACACUUUCAAAAUCUCCUGGGGAAUGAGGGCUCGUAUCUCUCCCUCUCACACUGAUACUGUAAUUUCACACUUUGUUUUUUCACCAGCAGCUGAGCCUCUGCUUGUUACAUGUGACACGUGUGUUUCAUUUGCAUUAGGGCUUUUGUAGUUUGAGGGGCCUAAUGAGCAAGGGAUAGGGAAGCGGCCGGGUGGAAGGGUGGCAGGAGGCACAGGGCUCUCCUGUGUCCCACAUGGUGCCACUUUUGUCCUCCCCCAGGUGAUGCAGAGUUUUGCUGACACUGAAGCCUCCAGUGAGACCACAGCCUUUAGAACUGCUCUCGCGAAGUGGUGUGUACGCACAGGGGGAAGAAACAGGGCUGGAGAGUGGAAGGGAUGAGUCAGGAACACCCCCCUUGGCCUUGCCAUCGGGAUGAGCCCUGGGCACAGAGAGCCUAGAGGCCAUUAGCCGAGCCUCUGCUUAAACAAAAAAAAGUCCAACGUGGUUUUUGUUGGCUAGAAACCAAGCUAAACUAGACAGGAGUUACGCUCUCCCAUGACUUAGGAUUUACAGCAGCUAGGAGUUAGUUCCUUGUGUCUGAAUAUUGUUGUGUCCCAGCUGCCACAUUAGGUUAAUUGCCUCCCAAUUAUCAAAACUUUUGGGGCUGAUGAUCAUCUCAGAAGAGUUCACACGUUAUUAGUCUUGUCUUUCACCAGGAGAAGGGCAAGUCGUGGAAGCCUUUGUGGGAGAGAAGCUGGGGAAUGCCACUCGCUGCAUUUCAUAGCUUGCCUUAGCAUGGCUGGACAUCUGAAGUGUUGAAGAAUAGUUUGACAAUUAGGUGGAGGCUACUUCUUCCCAUGCCUGCUGAUGGGAUGAACUCUCAGGCACUUGUAUAAUCGCUGCUGGUGCUAAACUGUUUGCUUGAAGGAGGUUGUCUGCUCUGAAUCUGAUGUCUGGACACCGCUGUGGGUCUUCAGUUUCUGUGCUUUAAUUACUUGUGGAACUUGCCAUACGUAGGAAGAAAACUGAAUUAAAAUAACUUAGCUGUAAAGAAGAUAUUGUUGUAAUAAAAGCCACCCCAGAUGUAUAAGGUUGUUAUGUAGCAAAAUUAAGCCAGGCAAAUCUGUGGAUAAACAUAUACAGCUUAGGUUUUGAAUACCCAAAGGAUACUUUCCUCUGGAUGUCUCUUACUGAUAACAGUGCAGCAUCAGAAGUAUUAAACGGAUUCUCUGAGCACGACAAAAACCGAUAGCUGUAAAUAAUGGCCUGUAAGCUCUGUGUUUCCUGAAAUGCCAGCCCACACUGUGGCGAUGCAAUCAAGCUGCCUUUAUAUGAAACCUUCAUGUACUGUCCCAAUUCUUUUCCUCUGCAUUCCCACCUUCCUGCCCCUUGGCAUUCAUUCACGCUGACAUGUUAUUAAAGUUGUCUCUGAAGCUGG